ensembl:snRNA U6 U6 spliceosomal RNA
GUGCUUGCUUCGGUUGCACAUAUACUAAAAUUAGAACAAUACUGAGGAGAUUAGCAUGGCCCCUGUGCAAGGAUGACAUACAAAUUCAUGAAACAUUCCAUAUUUUA